rnacentral:antisense_RNA from 1 species
UGAUAUGGCAGGUCGGCGGGCUGGCUUCGGCCGGGCCGUUUCUGUUUUGACGGUAGUUCGAACCCGCUCGGCCUGCCCCCAGU